GACGAACGCUAGCGGCGUGCUUAACACAUGCAAGUCGAACGGAAAGGCCCUGCUUUUGUGGGGUGCUCGAGUGGCGAACGGGUGAGUAACACGUGAGUAACCUGCCCUUGACUUUGGGAUAACUUCAGGAAACUGGGGCUAAUACCGGAUAGGAGCUCCUGCUGCAUGGUGGGGGUUGGAAAGUUUCGGCGGUUGGGGAUGGACUCGCGGCUUAUCAGCUUGUUGGUGGGGUAGUGGCUUACCAAGGCUUUGACGGGUAGCCGGCCUGAGAGGGUGACCGGCCACAUUGGGACUGAGAUACGGCACAGACUCCUACGGGAGGCAGCAGUGGGGAAUAUUGCACAAUGGGCGGAAGCCUGAUGCAGCAACGCCGCGUGCGGGAUGACGGCCUUCGGGUUGUAAACCGCUUUCGCCUGUGACGAAGCGUGAGUGACGGUAAUGGGUAAAGAAGCACCGGCUAACUACGUG
rnacentral:rRNA from 1 species